UGGGGAAUUUUGGACAAUGGGCGAAAGCCUGAUCCAGCAAUGCCGCGUGUGUGAAGAAGGCCUUCGGGUUGUAAUGCACUUUUGUCCGGAAAGAAAUCCUUGGCUCUAAUACAGUCGGGGGAUGACGGUACCGGAAGAAUAAGCACCGGCUAACUACGUGCCAGCAGCCGCGGUAAUACGUAGGGUGCAAGCGUUAAUCGGAAUUACUGGGCGUAAAGCGUGCGCAGGCGGUUUGCUAGACGAUGUGAAAUCCCCGGGCUCAACCUGGGAACUGCAUUGGUGACUGGCAGGCUAGAGUAUGGCAGAGGGGGGUAGAAUUCCACGUGUAGCAGUGAAAUGCGUAGAGAUGUGGAGGAAUACCGAUGGCGAAGGCAGCCCCCUGGGCCAAUACUGACGCUCAUGCACGAAAAGGCGUGGGGGACGCAAAACAGGAUUAGAUACCCUGGUAGUCCCACGCCCUAAACGAUGUCAACUAGUUGUUGGGGAUUCAUUUCCUUAGUAACGUAGCUAACGCGUGAAGUUGACCGCCUGGGGAGUACGGUCGCAAGAUUAAAGCUCAAAGGAAUUGAC
rnacentral:rRNA from 1 species